UAAAAACUUUUUUUAAAGUAUGAGUUUAGGAAGUGGAAUUCUAUAGCAUGCUUUUUCACAUGUCACCUUUUGUGUUUAAACCACCCUUAGCCAUCACUUGAGAAAAGAGUUUGAGUUCAUUUGUGGUUUUGAGUAACAAACCUCCUUCGACAAAUUGCCCUUUUUCUUUGCUGUGUUUUAAAAAUGCAGGCUGUGACUUUUUUGGGGGAAAUGUACAGGUUGUAAGUUUUCUUUCUUGAUUUUGCAAAUCAGGCUAUGUUGUCCACACAGGGUCCUUAACUGGCAUGAAUCAUGAGGCCUAGCAAAAUGUACCGACCAAUGACCUGUUGUUUUUUGUCUUCGUAACAGUCUCUGAGGGACACAUGGCUUCCUCAGCUGUAGUGUCUGCACCUGUCACUUUCAGAUUGACACCUGCAGGUGUUUUUCUUUCUUUUGGAAGGGGAGAAUGGAGAAGGGGAGUAGGGGAAUGGAUAUAAUAUUUUAGAUGGUAUUUUUAAGUUCAGGUUCAUGGCUAGCUUGCUCUAGAGACAGUAAAAGACUCAUUAUGUGGGUUUUUUUUUUUUAUCGUCUGUCACAAUUCUAUAUAUUUCCUCAGCCUUUGAAUUGGCUCUGAAGAAAUCAUGGCUCUAUGUUAUAAAAGUCA
rnacentral:lncRNA from 1 species